rnacentral:rRNA from 1 species
GGGUUGUGAGGUUAAGCGACUAAGCGUACACGGUGGAUGCCCUGGCAGUCAGAGGCGAUGAAGGACGUGCUAAUCUGCGAAAAGCGUCGGUAAGGUGAUAUGAACCGUUAUAGCCGGCGAUGUCCGAAUGGGGAAACCCAGUGCAAUUCGUUGCACUAUCGUUAACUGAAUACAUAGGUUAACGAGGCGAACCGGGGGAACUGAAACAUCUAAGUACCCCGAGGAAAAGAAAUCAACCGAGAUUCCCCCAGUAGCGGCGAGCGAACGGGGAGCAGCCCAGAGUCUGAAUCAGCUUGUGUGUUAGUGGAACGGUCUGGAAAGUCCGACGGUACAGGGUGAUAGUCCCGUACACCAAAAUGCACAGGCUGUGAACUCGAAGAGUAGGGCGGGACACGUGGUAUCCUGUCUGAAUAUGGGGGGACCAUCCUCCAAGGCUAAAUACUCCUGACUGACCGAUAGUGAACCAGUACCGUGAGGGAAAGGCGAAAAGAACCCCGGCGAGGGGAGUGAAAAAGAACCUGAAACCGUGUACGUACAAGCAGUGGGAGCACCUUCGGGUGUGACUGCGUACCUUUUGUAUAAUGGGUCAGCGACUUAUAUUCUGUAGCAAGGUUAACCGUAUAGGGGAGCCGCAGGGAAACCGAGUCUUAACUGGGCGUUAAGUUGCAGGGUAUAGACCCGAAACCCGGUGAUCUAGCCAUGGGCAGGUUGAAGGUUGGGUAACACUAACUGGAGGACCGAACCGACUAAUGUUGAAAAAUUAGCGGAUGACUUGUGGCUGGGGGUGAAAGGCCAAUCAAACCGGGAGAUAGCUGGUUCUCCCCGAAAGCUAUUUAGGUAGCGCCUCGUGAAUUCAUCUUCGGGGGUAGAGCACUGUUUCGGCUAGGGGGUCAUCCCGACUUACCAACCCGAUGCAAACUACGAAUACCGAAGAAUGUUAUCACGGGAGACACACGGCGGGUGCUAACGUCCGUCGUGAAGAGGGAAACAACCCAGACCGCCAGCUAAGGUCCCAAAGUCAUGGUUAAGUGGGAAACGAUGUGGGAAGGCACAGACAGCCAGGAUGUUGGCUUAGAAGCAGCCAUCAUUUAAAGAAAGCGUAAUAGCUCACUGGUCGAGUCGGCCUGCGCGGAAGAUGUAACGGGGCUAAACCAUGCACCGAAGCUGCGGCAGCGACACUAUGUGUUGUUGGGUAGGGGAGCGUUCUGUAAGCCUGCGAAGGUGGCCUGUGAGGGCUGCUGGAGGUAUCAGAAGUGCGAAUGCUGACAUAAGUAACGAUAAAGCGGGUGAAAAGCCCGCUCGCCGGAAGACCAAGGGUUCCUGUCCAACGUUAAUCGGGGCAGGGUGAGUCGACCCCUAAGGCGAGGCCGAAAGGCGUAGUCGAUGGGAAACAGGUUAAUAUUCCUGUACUUGGUGUUACUGCGAAGGGGGGACGGAGAAGGCUAUGUUAGCCGGGCGACGGUUGUCCCGGUUUAAGCAUGUAGGCGGAGGUUCCAGGUAAAUCCGGUACCUUUUAACGCUGAGGUGUGAUGACGAGGCACUACGGUGCUGAAGUAACAAAUGCCCUGCUUCCAGGAAAAGCCUCUAAGCAUCAGGUAACAUUGAAUCGUACCCCAAACCGACACAGGUGGUCAGGUAGAGAAUACCAAGGCGCUUGAGAGAACUCGGGUGAAGGAACUAGGCAAAAUGGUGCCGUAACUUCGGGAGAAGGCACGCUGGUGUGUAGGUGAAGUCCCUGCGGAUGGAGCUGAGACCAGUCGAAGAUACCAGCUGGCUGCAACUGUUUAUUAAAAACACAGCACUGUGCAAACACGAAAGUGGACGUAUACGGUGUGACGCCUGCCCGGUGCCGGAAGGUUAAUUGAUGGGGUUAUCCGUAAGGAGAAGCUCUUGAUCGAAGCCCCGGUAAACGGCGGCCGUAACUAUAACGGUCCUAAGGUAGCGAAAUUCCUUGUCGGGUAAGUUCCGACCUGCACGAAUGGCGUAAUGAUGGCCAGGCUGUCUCCACCCGAGACUCAGUGAAAUUGAACUCGCUGUGAAGAUGCAGUGUACCCGCGGCAAGACGGAAAGACCCCGUGAACCUUUACUAUAGCUUGACACUGAACAUUGAGCCUUGAUGUGUAGGAUAGGUGGGAGGCUUUGAAGCGUGGACGCCAGUCUGCGUGGAGCCAACCUUGAAAUACCACCCUUUAAUGUUUGAUGUUCUAACGUUGGCCCCUAAUCGGGGUUGCGGACAGUGUCUGGUGGGUAGUUUGACUGGGGCGGUCUCCUCCCAAAGAGUAACGGAGGAGCACGAAGGUUAGCUAAUCCUGGUCGGACAUCAGGAGGUUAGUGCAAUGGCAUAAGCUAGCUUGACUGCGAGCGUGACGGCGCGAGCAGGUGCGAAAGCAGGUCAUAGUGAUCCGGUGGUUCUGAAUGGAAGGGCCAUCGCUCAACGGAUAAAAGGUACUCCGGGGAUAACAGGCUGAUACCGCCCAAGAGUUCAUAUCGACGGCGGUGUUUGGCACCUCGAUGUCGGCUCAUCACAUCCUGGGGCUGAAGUAGGUCCCAAGGGUAUGGCUGUUCGCCAUUUAAAGUGGUACGCGAGCUGGGUUUAGAACGUCGUGAGACAGUUCGGUCCCUAUCUGCCGUGGGCGCUGGAGAAUUGAGGGGGGCUGCUCCUAGUACGAGAGGACCGGAGUGGACGCAUCACUGGUGUUCGGGUUGUCAUGCCAAUGGCACUGCCCGGUAGCUAAAUGCGGAAGAGAUAAGUGCUGAAAGCAUCUAAGCACGAAACUUGCCCCGAGAUGAGUUCUCCCUGAGACUUUAAGUCUCCUGAAGGAACGUUGAAGACGACGACGUUGAUAGGCCGGGUGUGUAAGCGCAGCGAUGCGUUGAGCUAACCGGUACUAAUGAACCGUGAGGCUUAACCUUACAACGCCGAAGCUGUU